GUUUAAUCUCAAAUGUUGUUAAUCUUUUUGUCUAAUUGUUUUCUAUUCUUUUUUUUCCAUUGUCUUAUUAAUCUUAUUCUUAAAUCUACAGAAUGAUGUGGAGAUUAUUCCUUUGUCUCUCGUGUGUCAAUGUGUCUCUUUUAUGAGAAUUGAAACCCUUUUCUUUUUUUAGAAGAAAAAUUUUUUUUUCUUUUCUUCUCCAUUAUUACCAUAAUCUUGUUGUUCCAUCUUAAUUUUUAUUCUAUAUUUUUCUUUCCAGGUUUUGGAUUUUUGUCUCUAUCAUAUCAUCUUACUUGUGAGAUGAUGAUUAUGAUGAUUACAUGAUGGUCGCUGUGGUAUUUAGAUUUCAUCUAUUUUGGGACAAUCAACUCAUGAAUUUGUAUCUGUAACUGACUCAAGGGUUUUCAUGUGUUAUUGUCAUUGGGAAUCCAUUUCAUCUUUACAGUGAACUUGUCACGAUGGAAAUUUGAAAGAAAGAAAAUGCUCACGACAAGAAAUUUUUUCUCUUCCAUUUUUUUUUAUUUCUCUCCAUCAUCUUCUCGUAUUGUCAUCGUCGUUUUUGUCUUCAUCAUUUGGUUAAAAUUAAAUUGUUUUUCUUAACAAUAACAACGAACCACAAUUUCAUCGUUAUUAUCAUCAUCAUAUUCCUAUUGUCAUUGUGCUUUUGUGAUUAUAUUCUGAGAGAGGAAGAGCCAGAGAGAGACAGAAUGACAAGAUCACUACCUUUCUCUCAUCCAGAGAGAGAGAAUAGAAAAGAAAAACAAAAUUCUCAAUGACAAUUCUAUUCUUUAACAUAGUAACAGAUUAUGGUGAUGAUUGAGAAUCAAUGGAAAUUAACUAUGGAGAAAUAUUAUCUUUUCAACGAUUGAUGGUCAAUUCAAUGUUCGCCUCCAUCAUUAUCAUCAUUCUCAAUUAACUGAGGUAACUCAAAGUUAAUCGAAAUUUGAUUGAAAUGGCAACAAUAUCAAAAUCUAAUCAAAUGAGGAAACAAUUUAAUGUAAAAGAUAAAUGAUCGAGAGAUUAUUUGGAGACUCAUAUUUACCGAGGAAUCACAAUUUAGCAAAUUGGAAAGGCCGAAAAGAUGCAAUGAUUAGUAAAUUGUUUCAUUAACCUUUUUCUCUUCUCUUCCAAAUGAAGAUGAAGAAGAAGAAGAAAAAUUCUCUCUAUAUCAAACUUCGAGAUUAUCAUCAUUUUCUAUCCUAAAUGGUAUGUGGUCUCUUCCAAACUGACCUUGGGUCAUAACGUGUAUUCACAUUUACAAUCUAUCUAUCAGAUCGUUGAUACAUUACCUGGAAAACUUUUCAAUUACAUUUAUCAUGAUCGACUUUCUUUUUCCUCAUCAUCGUCAUCAUCAUCUUAAAAUCAUCUUUAGUGGACUAAUCGUUAUCCAGCUAGCUUAAAAUCCAAUGGAUUUACUAUACAUUACAAAAUAUACUUUACUAUUUUAUCAGUUUAACCAGUAAUUAGGGCAACGGGACUCUUGACCUCUUCUCGGGUCAUAAGUUAAAUCUACCUUGAUGGUGAAUGUGUGUAGAAAUAUAGAAAUGAACAGAGAUCAAUUUUUUCCCAAUGGUUUCUAUUGGUAAUCCAUCAAUCUUAAAAAAACAGAGUAACAGAAAUUGACUGUUAAUCUGACCAUUUAAACGAACAUCGAUCACAAUUGAAAUUUAGGUUAAUCACUUUGGGGCAUCAUGGAUCAUCAUCAAUGGAUCAUUUUUAAUUUCAUUGGCUAUGGAAACUAAAUUUUCGGCAACAAUUUACUCAUCUAAUUUAUUGCUAUUAUAUUCACAGGAAACUUGAACAUUGUUUGUUUACUACAAACACUUAAAUCAUCGUCAUCAUUAAUGGUUAAAUUGUCACCGUUUUAAAUCAUCACCAUCAUUCAUAUAUAUAUAAUAUAAACCAAAUUUGGAAGCUCACACUUUAACUACUAAAUUGAAUCAAAUUACCAAAUCAAAUUGAUUGUUUUGAUUAAGAUCCAUUUGGUAAGAUAAUGGUGAAUACAAAAACUUUCCACUCGAUUUGACGAUAAAUGUGGCCUGAGGUCGAUAAUUGUGGACGAGAUGACGAAAGGAAAUUACGAAAAUUAAAUGAGAAACCUUUUCGUUUACGUUU